UGAGCCUUUUACAUGCUAUCACAUUCAACCUCAUAAAUGGAGGUCGCCUUUUCCCUUCUUAUUUCCUUGAAACUGAAAAAAAGGGAAUCAACACAACUAGAAGAUUCCCAACGACAUCAUCUAUCUAUCAAUCAUUGAUGUUAUACUAUUGCUCCCUCAAAACAAGGAUAUAUAGGAUUGAAUACCACUGAGUUUAGUAUCAAAAGCUUCAUUAGAUUUCCUUGUCUCAGGUAGAUCAGUGACAGAAAGAUGUCAGAUGCAUCACUCCGUAAACGACCUCGGCCAGCAACAAUAGCAAGAACAACAAGCGAAGCGAAGUUCUCCUUCGAAGAACUUACGGAGACUGAAGAAUGCUACAAAUCCAAGAUCACCACUGGUGGCUCCACUCAUCCUGCACCACUCACACUGAGAGGAGCUUGCCAAAAGCCUCAAGAUUCAACACGACCUCUCCAUUUCUUGCAUGCCUGCGGUGUGUGCAGGCGCCCACUUGGAUUGGAACAAGACAUUUAUAUAUAUCGGGGAGACACUGCCUUCUGCAGCACUGAGUGCCGAGAGCAACAUAUCAAAUAUGACCCUCUAAAGGGUACGUCUCCUUUCCACCAGUGAACAACCAUGCGACGAGCCGGCAUUGGAUUUAGAAACUAAAAGAUGUGAAUCUGGGGUUUUCGUGUGGAAGGCCGCCCUCAAUAACUAAUGUGUUACCACAACGAUCGAAUUCGGUAUUUGCAAUUGUAUGAAUGUGAAAAAUCACCAUAAAUGCAAAUAUUUGCAAUGCUCGCAUGGAUGCAAGUUGAACUUAAGAAAUUUUGGAUGUAACAUGGAUUUUCUUUCUUCA